rnacentral:rRNA from 1 species
GAGUUUGAUCAUGGCUCAGAUUGAACGCUGGCGGCAGGCCUAACACAUGCAAGUCGAACGGUAACAGGAAACAGCUUGCUGUUUCGCUGACGAGUGGCGGACGGGUGAGUAAUGUCUGGGAAACUGCCUGAUGGAGGGGGAUAACUACUGGAAACGGUAGCUAAUACCGCAUAACGUCGCAAGACCAAAGAGGGGGACCCUCGGGCCUCUUGCCAUCGGAUGUGCCCAGAUGGGAUUAGCUUGUUGGUGGGGUAACGGCUCACCAAGGCGACGAUCCCUAGCUGGUCUGAGAGGAUGACCAGCCACACUGGAACUGAGACACGGUCCAGACUCCUACGGGAGGCAGCAGUGGGGAAUAUUGCACAAUGGGCGCAAGCCUGAUGCAGCCAUGCCGCGUGUAUGAAGAAGGCCUUCGGGUUGUAAAGUACUUUCAGCGGGGAGGAAGGGAGUAAAGUUAAUACCUUUGCCCAUUGACGUUACCCGCAGAAGAAGCACCGGCUAACUCCGUGCCAGCAGCCGCGGUAAUACGGAGGGUGCAAGCGUUAAUCGGAAUUACUGGGCGUAAAGCGCACGCAGGCGGUUUGUUAAGUCAGAUGUGAAAUCCCCGGGCUCAACCUGGGAACUGCAUCUGAUACUGGCAAGCUUGAGUCUCGUAGAGGGGGUAGAAUUCCAGGUGUAGCGGUGAAAUGCGUAGAGAUCUGGAGGAAUACCGGUGGCGAAGGCGGCCCCCUGGACGAAGACUGACGCUCAGGUGCGAAAGCGUGGGGAGCAAACAGGAUUAGAUACCCUGGUAGUCCACGCCGUAAACGAUGUCGACUUGGAGGUUGUGCCCUUGAGGCGUGGCCUCCGGAGCUAACGCGUUAAGUCGACCGCCUGGGGAGUACGGCCGCAAGGUUAAAACUCAAAUGAAUUGACGGGGGCCCGCACAAGCGGUGGAGCAUGUGGUUUAAUUCGAUGCAACGCGAAGAACCUUACCUGGUCUUGACAUCCACGGAAGUUUUCAGAGAUGAGAAUGUGCCUUCGGGAACCGUGAGACAGGUGCUGCAUGGCUGUCGUCAGCUCGUGUUGUGAAAUGUUGGGUUAAGUCCCGCAACGAGCGCAACCCUUAUCCUUUGUUGCCAGCGGUCCGGCCGGGAACUCAAAGGAGACUGCCAGUGAUAAACUGGAGGAAGGUGGGGAUGACGUCAAGUCAUCAUGGCCCUUACGACCAGGGCUACACACGUGCUACAAUGGCGCAUACAAAGAGAAGCGACCUCGCGAGAGCAAGCGGACCUCAUAAAGUGCGUCGUAGUCCGGAUUGGAGUCUGCAACUCGACUCCAUGAAGUCGGAAUCGCUAGUAAUCGUGGAUCAGAAUGCCACGGUGAAUACGUUCCCGGGCCUUGUACACACCGCCCGUCACACCAUGGGAGUGGGUUGCAAAAGAAGUAGGUAGCUUAACCUUCGGGAGGGCGCUUACCACUUUGUGAUUCAUGACUGGGGUGAAGUCGGAACAAGGUA